GCUUGCUUAGGUGACGCAUACACUAACAAUGGUAUGAUACAGAGAAGAUUAGUACAACCCCUGUGCAAUGAUGACUCUGAAAAAUCAUGAAAUGUUCUGUAUUUAG